GACAGAGGGUGCAAGCGUUAUUCGGAAUUAUUGGGCGUAAAGGGCGCGUAGGCGGCUCGGUAAGUCGGAUGUGAAAUCCCAGAGCUUAACUUUGGAAGUGCAUCCGAAACUGCUGAACUAGAGUCUCGGAGAGGGUGGUAGAAUUCCCAGUGUAGAGGUGAAAUUCGUAGAUAUUGGGAGGAAUACCAGUGGCGAAGGCGGCUACCUGGCCCAUUCUUGACGCUGAGGCGCGAAAGCUAGGGGAGCAAACGGG
rnacentral:rRNA from 1 species